UACGAAGGGGGCUAGCGUUGCUCGGAAUCACUGGGCGUAAAGGGUGCGUAGGCGGGUCUUUUAAGUCAGGGGUGAAAUCCUGGAGCUCAACUCCAGAACUGCCUUUGAUACUGAAGAUCUUGAGUUCGGGAGAGGUGAGUGGAACUGCGAGUGUAGAGGUGAAAUUCGUAGAUAUUCGCAAGAACACCAGUGGCGAAGGCGGACUCACUGGCCCGAUAACUGACGCUGAGGCACGAAAAGCGUGGGGAG
rnacentral:rRNA from 1 species